AAGAUGUCUUGGUUCAAGGAUUCAUGCUUGUGAUAAGUGGGUUGAGUGUUCUCCAAAGAAUGACUUAAACAAAAGCAAAGCAAAAGCAAUAAUAACUUCUAAUUCACUAACAACUAACAUUUAAUUUCAAGUCAUUUAUUUUUAAUGCACUUUAAUUUUUAAGCUUUAAGUCAUUUGCCAUUAUUCAUACCAUUCAAGUUGUUUUCUUUAAUGCCAUUUUUACUUUGUCCAUUUGGACCAUAGUUUGUGGUAUUUUUUGUUUGUAUAUACU
rnacentral:lncRNA from 1 species